rnacentral:rRNA from 1 species
UACGGAGGAUCCGAGCGUUAUCCGGUUUUAUUGGGUUUAAAGGGUGCGUAGGCGGAUUGAUAAGUUAGAGGUGAAAUGUCCGAGCUUAACUCGGGAACUGCCUCUAAUACUGUUGAUCUAGAGAGUAGAUGCGGUAGGCGGAAUGUAUGGUGUAGCGGUGAAAUGCUUAGAGAUCAUACAGAACACCGAUUGCGAAGGCAGCUUACCAAUCUAUAUCUGACGUUGAGGCACGAAAGCGUGGGGAGCAAACAGG